GGCGGGGUAACGGCCCACCAAGUCGACGAUCGGUAGCCGGACUGAGAGGUUGAACGGCCACAUUGGGACUGAGACACGGCCCAGACUCCUACGGGAGGCAGCAGUGAGGGAUAUUGGUCAAUGGGGGAAACCCUGAACCAGCAACGCCGCGUGAGGGAUGACGGUCUUCGGAUUGUAAACCUCUGUCCUCUGUGAAGAUAAUGACGGUAGCAGAGGGGAAGCUCCGGCUAACUAC
rnacentral:rRNA from 1 species